rnacentral:pre_miRNA from 1 species
UCACCUCCUCAAGAUGGCUGACCCCAGGCUGGGCUGGGAGUAUCUCUUCGAAAGGCUCACCCUCAAGCAUGACUAGGAGC